AAAUUAGUAUCCAUCCCCUUCCUCUCCUCGAUUCCCAAAUCGGUCGAUUCAUCCCCAUCCUCCCCGCACCGGCUCUGCCUUGUCUCCCCACUCCCUGUCCACUCCAAUCCAGCCUCAGGCAGGUCGCCGGCGUCUCCUCCCUCCCUUCCAUUUUGCCCCACAACGCCUCGUCGGCCAGCAAGAACGCCCGCGCGGCCUUCUCCCGACCCGCCCUCCACUGGCACAGCUCCGCGCUCGUCUGAGCGCGCCUGACCACCAACUCCAGAAGCACCGCCGAUUCGAGACUGUUGCGUGACGGAUCAGCCGGUGGAUGCCCAGGUCGGCGAGCAGCGGCUCCACGUCCGCGUCGAGGAGGGCCAGCCGCGCAUCCACCUCAACAUCACCACUGAGGAGUUAGUGGCCCCCCUUUUCGCAGAUGAGCUGACCAGCCCGCAGCUCCCGGCCGGCGCCGUGUCACGAUGAAGUUGCAGUGGGACGUGCUCGGGACUGGUCCUCGUUGUCACGCACGGCGACCUCGCGCGGUGACCUGGGUCGAGGUCAGCUACAUCGCGUUGUAGCUUCUCGAGUCAGGCCUUGCUGGCACACGGACGGGGCAGCGAGGCGUUCAUAGGUUGUGGCCACGGCCCGCAUUGGCCAUCAUGUGGAUGUGCGAAUGCGAGAUUGUUUGAUCCAGCGCCGAGGAGUAUUAAUGUCGCAAGUGCUGAUCCAAUUCAGUCACCGGUCACACCAACCUAGCCUGGUCGUAUCAUGGCAAUCACUCUUCCGGCUGAGCUGAGCUAGGUGUGAUGAUCUCCACCUCUCCUGAUCGUUCACCUUGGCACAUGGUUCGCCCUCAGGAGUUUCUACAUGCACAAUUCCGGGGAGGACAGCAAUACUGUCAUGUGGAGAGUGCAUGCUAUGGUAGAUAUGGUGGCGAUGAGGGCGUCCAGCGGAGCAGAAUGUGUUGUUGUACCAGGUCACCAUUAGGGUAAUCAUAUCGCUGUGGGCCUUGUUCUUUCCGCUACUCAGAACCUGAGGUAACCAAAAAGAAGGAUCAGUUUAUAUUGCUGAAAAAUUUAUUUGAUCAAUAUACUGCAGCUUGCAAUACAAAACACACAUGGCUGAAAAUUGGGUAGUGUUGCUGGAACCCGGAGGCGUCCAUCUCCAGGAAGGCUACAGAGCAGAAGACGUAGAGAUUCCACAGCAGGUUGCGUGUGUUCCAGUGACCAAGACAGAUGCUGUGUCCAAGAUCGUCGAGCCUGUAAUGAUGUCUGCCAAUGUGAUGGCAUGGAUGCAUGGAUGGCUGCGUCCAAGAUCGCCGAGCCUGUCGGUAGAUGAUGUCUGCCAAUGUGAUGGCAUGGAUGGCAUCGCCAGACCACCUGAGCCAGCCGAUCGCACCUCCACCGCAGGACAGUAAGGUCGCCGGCCCCGGCUUGCGGCUGCUCCACCCCAAGGU